rnacentral:lncRNA from 1 species
AGUCCAUCUUGCUCCAGGGCCAGCCCAGGAGCCGGGGGUAGGGGCACCCGUUGCCCUGUGCCUCCCUCCCACUCCAGAGCCGGGAGGGUUUGGCAAAGCAACAAGGCAGCCUUUGUGCGCCUCUGUGGGUCUAGGCACGUCUGGCCCGGCCUAGGCGGCUGCUGGUUUCAGUGCCCUGCGAUCCUGGCCAGGCGGGGCAGGGCAGGGCAGGGCGUCCUCCAGGUCCCCAUGAUGUGGCUGUCUUGUGUCCCCAGCACCCCAUCAGGGCUCCCCAGGCGAAGAUCCCCGUGCCACGGGGCUGGCAGUGAGGAUCUAGGGCAGGUCGCGUGUAGGCGGCGCUCCAAGCCCUCCCUCCUCAGACUCUAAGGCCAGAGGUGGGGGGUAAGGCUGAGAACUCUUCAAAGAACAGCUCCAGGAACCCCUUUUGGUGACCGCCUGUCUUUGCUGAUGUAGGUGUUUCUUCAAGUCUCUUCCUAGUCUUUCCUGCUGUGGAAGCGCUGGAGCAGCAAUUGUUAACCUUUUUUUUCUCCAGACUCCUUCACAGGCUUAGUAAUUGCCAAGGACCCCAAAGAGCUUUUGUUGAUGCGGGUUCCAUCCAUCGAGACUUACGAUGUUUGGGGAGUUCUCAUUGUGGCACAAUGGAAGUGAAUCCGACUAGGAACCAUGAGGUUGCAGUUUGAUCCCUGGCCCGGCUCAGUAGGUUGAGGAUCUGGCGUUGCCAUGAGCUGUGGUGUAGGUUGCAGAUGCGGCUCGGAUCCAACAUUGCUGUGACUGUGGUGUAGGCUGGUAGCUGUAGCUCCGAUUCGACCCCUAGCCUGGGAACCUCCAUAUGCCGUGGGUGUGGCUCUAAAAAAGACAAAGAGACCAAAAAAAAAAAAACAAAAAAACCCUGAGAAAAUUUAAACAUGUACUUAUUCAUUCAUCUAAAAAAUAACAGUAAAUAAUUCUACUACAGGUUAACAUAGAUAAUAUACUUUUAUGACAAAUAGCUUUUUUUUCUGGAACAAAGUAAAAUUGGCAAGAGGAGUGGUGUUGUCUUUACAUUUUGGCAAAUCUCAUUAAUAUCUGGCUUAAUAGAGCAAACAGCCUCCUUGGCUUUGGAUUCUCCUAUCUGCUUUUGCUUUCAAUCUGUUGUGGUAUAUUUUUGUUGUUGUCGCUGGAGUACAUGAAGAAAACUUGGCCUCAUGCAGAUUUCUGUUUGGAAGAACGAGGCGUAUAUUCAUAGUCUUUUCAGAUAAUUUGAUACUACACCAAAACUUGACAAGUAGGAGUUUCGUAAAGGUUAGUUGCCAUGAAGAAUCUGAAAUCCUAUCGGUGAGCCUUAUAUAUUCUAUUACAUAGAAAGUCCAUUUGUCUAUCUAGAUCCUUUGCCCAUGCAUAAUUUUAUUUAUUUAUUUAUUUGGCCAUGUGUGUGGCAUGUGGAAGUUCCCAGGCCCAGGGGUUGACUCCACACCACAGUAGCAACUUGAGUUCCUGUCGUGGCUCAGUGGAAACGAAUCUGACUAGCAUCCACGAGGAUGCAGGUUCGAUCCCUGGCUUCGCUCAGUGGGUUAAGGAUCCAGCAUUGCC